rnacentral:misc_RNA from 1 species
GAGAACAUCGCCCUCGCGGGUGACUCUCCAACCCUAUGUUAUUGUACCUUUGUUGCUUUGGCGAGCCGCUUCGGCCACCGGCUCGCGCUGGUGAGUGCUCGCCAGAGGACCACAACUCUGUAUUAAAUGUCGUCUGAGUACUAUAAAAUAGUUAAAACUUUCAACAACGGAUCUCUUGGUUCU